UGGACGUUUUGGUCUUUUAAAAAAUCUUCUCAUGAACCACUGCGACAGAAAAGAUAAAUGAUGGGAAGCUAUUUGCUUCAUUCAAUGACGUGUUUCCGGCAUACUGAGAAUCAAAAUGGCGAAAAAGAAACAUAACCCUGAAUACCACACCGGGACAACACUCCACGAAAGCACAGUGGUGCACCUGGGAUGAUGUUUGCGGGAUGGAUCUCAGUUCAGAAUAGUGAGUCUAGAGUGGGCUUCACAUUGGCAAUGACUUAAGUCAUUUACUGUGCUUUAAGCAUUCUGUAAUUUAGAACUGUAAUUUCAAUUUUGA